rnacentral:miRNA from 1 species
AAAUGAGAGAGAGAGAGAGAGAGAGAGAGAGAGAGAGAGAGAUGGUUUUUGAAAUAAGAACUAGAAACAGCCAUAAAUGGUUUUUAGUUCUGAAGUUCUCUGUUAUUCUUUCUCUCUUCUUCAGCUCUCAAUUCUCAUUUCUCU